UCCUACCCUUCAGUUCUACUGCGCCUU
rnacentral:piRNA from 1 species